rnacentral:rRNA from 1 species
UGCUUGAGUAGUACUAGGUAUGUUCUUGAAACUUAAAGAAUUUGGCGGUAUCUUAUUCCAUUCAGAGGAAUCUGCCUCGUUAUCGAUAGUCCGCGUUGGACCUUGCUUAGUUGUUAUGGUUUGUAUACCGCCGUUUAUUGAUUAUUCUUUUAGGGUUUGUUAAUUUUCUGGUUUCUCUAUUUUGAUUUAUUUCAGGUCAAGGUGCAGCUUGUUUCUAAGUGUUAUUGGUGGAUUACAUUGUUCUUUGUUGUUUGGAUUGCUGGUUGGAUUAUUGGUAUGAAAUUGGAUUUGAUUGUAAUGUCUUGAAGAUUGUUUUCGUGAUAUGGGUUCUAAGAUAUG